GUGUCAGCCGCCGCGGUAAAACGUAGGUCCCGAGCGUUAUCCGGAUUUACUGGGCGUAAAGCGCGUUCAGGCGGUCGGCUAAGUCGGGCAUGAAAUCUCUCGGCUCAACCGGGAGAGGUUGUCCGAUACUGGUCGACUUGAGGGCAGUAGAGGGUGGUGGAAUUCCGGGUGUAGUGGUGAAAUGCGUAGAGAUCCGGAGGAACACCAGUGGCGAAGGCGGCCACCUGGACUGCCCCUGACGCUGACACGCGAAAGCUAGGGGAGCGAACGGGAUUAGAAACCCGCGUAGUCC
rnacentral:rRNA from 1 species